CGAAAGCCUGACGGAGCAACGCCGCGUGAGGGAGGAAGGCCUUAGGGUUGUAAACCUCUUUUCUCUGGGAAGAAGAACUGACGGUACCAGAGGAAUAAGCCUCGGCUAACUCCGUGCCAGCAGCCGCGGUAAGACGGAGGAGGCAAGCGUUAUCCGGAAUUAUUGGGCGUAAAGCGUCCGCAGGCGGCUUUUUAAGUCUGUUGUCAAAGCCCACAGCUCAACUGUGGAUCGGCAAUGGAAACUGGGGAGCUUGAGUGUGGUAGGGGUAGAGGGAAUUCCUGGUGUAGCGGUGAAAUGCGUAGAUAUCAGGAAGAACACCAGUGGCGAAGGCGCUCUGCUGGGCCAUAACUGACGCUGAUGGACGAAAGCUAGGGGAGCG
rnacentral:rRNA from 1 species